rnacentral:rRNA from 1 species
CGAACGGGUGAGUAAUGCGUGACCAACCUGCCCCAUGCUCCAGAAUAGCUCUUGGAAACGGGUGGUAAUGCUGGAUGCUCCAACUUGACGCAUGUCUUGUUGGGAAAGUGUUUAGUGGCAUGGGAUGGGGUCGCGUCCUAUCAGCUUGUAGGCGGGGUAAUGGCCCACCUAGGCUUCGACGGGUAGCCGGCCUGAGAGGGCGGACGGCCACAUUGGGACUGAGACACGGCCCAAACUCCUACGGGAGGCAGCAGCC